CAGAUCUUUACAUUCAGAAGUACUGUGGGCC
rnacentral:piRNA from 1 species